GAUUAAGUUAUUAAGGGCGCACGGUGGAUGCCUUGGCACUAGAAGCCGAUGAAGGACGUUACUAACGACGAUAUGCUUUGGGGAGCUGUAAGUAAGCUUUGAUCCAGAGAUUUCCGAAUGGGGAAACCCAGCAUGAGUUAUGUCAUGUUAUCGAUAUGUGAAUACAUAGCAUAUCAGAAGGCACACCCGGAGAACUGAAACAUCUUAGUACCCGGAGGAAGAGAAAGAAAAUUCGAUUCCCUUAGUAGCGGCGAGCGAAACAGGAAGAGCCCAAACCAACAAGCUUGCUUGUUGGGGUUGUAGGACACUCUAUACGGAGUUACAAAGGACGACAUUAGACGAAUCAUCUGGAAAGAUGAAUCAAAGAAGGUAAUAAUCCUGUAGUCGAAAAUGUUGUCUCUCUUGAGUGGAUCCUGAGUACGACGGAGCACGUGAAAUUCCGUCGGAAUCUGGGAGGACCAUCUCCUAAGGCUAAAUACUCUCUAGUGACCGAUAGUGAACCAGUACCGUGAGGGAAAGGUGAAAAGCACCCCGGAAGGGGAGUGAAAUAGAACCUGAAACCGUGUGCUUACAAGUAGUCAGAGCCCGUUAAUGGGUGAUGGCGUGCCUUUUGUAGAAUGAACCGGCGAGUUACGAUUUGAUGCAAGGUUAAGCAGUAAAUGUGGAGCCGUAGCGAAAGCGAGUCUGAAUAGGGCGUUUAGUAUUUGGUCGUAGACCCGAAACCAGGUGAUCUACCCUUGGUCAGGUUGAAGUUCAGGUAACACUGAAUGGAGGACCGAACCGACUUACGUUGAAAAGUGAGCGGAUGAACUGAGGGUAGCGGAGAAAUUCCAAUCGAACCUGGAGAUAGCUGGUUCUCUCCGAAAUAGCUUUAGGGCUAGCCUCAAGUGAUGAUUAUUGGAGGUAGAGCACUGUUUGGACGAGGGGCCCCUCUCGGGUUACCGAAUUCAGACAAACUCCGAAUGCCAAUUAAUUUAACUUGGGAGUCAGAACAUGGGUGAUAAGGUCCGUGUUCGAAAGGGAAACAGCCCAGACCACCAGCUAAGGUCCCAAAAUAUAUGUUAAGUGGAAAAGGAUGUGGCGUUGCCCAGACAACUAGGAUGUUGGCUUAGAAGCAGCCAUCAUUUAAAGAGUGCGUAAUAGCUCACUAGUCGAGUGACACUGCGCCGAAAAUGUACCGGGGCUAAACAUAUUACCGAAGCUGUGGAUUGUCCUUUGGACAAUGGUAGGAGAGCGUUCUAAGGGCGUUGAAGCAUGAUCGUAAGGACAUGUGGAGCGCUUAGAAGUGAGAAUGCCGGUGUGAGUAGCGAAAGACGGGUGAGAAUCCCGUCCACCGAUUGACUAAGGUUUCCAGAGGAAGGCUCGUCCGCUCUGGGUUAGUCGGGUCCUAAGCUGAGGCCGACAGGCGUAGGCGAUGGAUAACAGGUUGAUAUUCCUGUACCACCUAUAAUCGUUUUAAUCGAUGGGGGGACGCAGUAGGAUAGGCGAAGCGUGCGAUUGGAUUGCACGUCUAAGCAGUAAGGCUGAGUAUUAGGCAAAUCCGGUACUCGUUAAGGCUGAGCUGUGAUGGGGAGAAGACAUUGUGUCUUCGAGUCGUUGAUUUCACACUGCCGAGAAAAGCCUCUAGAUAGAAAAUAGGUGCCCGUACCGCAAACCGACACAGGUAGUCAAGAUGAGAAUUCUAAGGUGAGCGAGCGAACUCUCGUUAAGGAACUCGGCAAAAUGACCCCGUAACUUCGGGAGAAGGGGUGCUCUUUAGGGUUAACGCCCAGAAGAGCCGCAGUGAAUAGGCCCAAGCGACUGUUUAUCAAAAACACAGGUCUCUGCUAAACCGUAAGGUGAUGUAUAGGGGCUGACGCCUGCCCGGUGCUGGAAGGUUAAGAGGAGUGGUUAGCUUCUGCGAAGCUACGAAUCGAAGCCCCAGUAAACGGCGGCCGUAACUAUAACGGUCCUAAGGUAGCGAAAUUCCUUGUCGGGUAAGUUCCGACCCGCACGAAAGGCGUAACGAUUUGGGCACUGUCUCAACGAGAGACUCGGUGAAAUCAUAGUACCUGUGAAGAUGCAGGUUACCCGCGACAGGACGGAAAGACCCCGUGGAGCUUUACUGUAGCCUGAUAUUGAAAUUCGGCACAGCUUGUACAGGAUAGGUAGGAGCCUUUGAAACGUGAGCGCUAGCUUACGUGGAGGCGCUGGUGGGAUACUACCCUAGCUGUGUUGGCUUUCUAACCCGCACCACUUAUCGUGGUGGGAGACAGUGUCAGGCGGGCAGUUUGACUGGGGCGGUCGCCUCCUAAAAGGUAACGGAGGCGCUCAAAGGUUCCCUCAGAAUGGUUGGAAAUCAUUCAUAGAGUGUAAAGGCAUAAGGGAGCUUGACUGCGAGACCUACAAGUCGAGCAGGGUCGAAAGACGGACUUAGUGAUCCGGUGGUUCCGCAUGGAAGGGCCAUCGCUCAACGGAUAAAAGCUACCCCGGGGAUAACAGGCUUAUCUCCCCCAAGAGUUCACAUCGACGGGGAGGUUUGGCACCUCGAUGUCGGCUCAUCGCAUCCUGGGGCUGUAGUCGGUCCCAAGGGUUGGGCUGUUCGCCCAUUAAAGCGGUACGCGAGCUGGGUUCAGAACGUCGUGAGACAGUUCGGUCCCUAUCCGUCGUGGGCGUAGGAAAUUUGAGAGGAGCUGUCCUUAGUACGAGAGGACCGGGAUGGACAUACCUCUGGUGUACCAGUUGUCGUGCCAACGGCAUAGCUGGGUAGCUAUGUGUGGACGGGAUAAGUGCUGAAAGCAUCUAAGCAUGAAGCCCCCCUCAAGAUGAGAUUUCCCAACUUCGGUUAUAAGAUCCCUCAAAGAUGAUGAGGUUAAUAGGUUCGAGGUGGAAGCAUGGUGACAUGUGGAGCUGACGAAUACUAAUCGAUCGAAGACUUAAUCAA
rnacentral:rRNA from 1 species